rfam:Streptomyces sp. NRRL F-6602 F6602contig9.1, whole genome shotgun sequence.
CGAACCCGCGCGGGAGAGUCCCCGGUGCGCAGCAGGUCAUGCCGCACACCAGGGCGCCGAAGGAGCAAGAUCCUCCCUUGAAUCUCUCAGGCCCCGUCACCGUGCGGGCGAG